rnacentral:sRNA from 1 species
UCCGUCCGUUUCGAUUUGUAUUUGCUCAAGCGGCAUGGCUUUAACAACCUCCAAAUUCUCUUCUGUCUCAAGGCUACACCCAAUCCUAAGUCGACCAGCCGCCGCAUCUCUUCCAUCCUUCUGGAGUGAGUUAUGUUGUUACAUGGUCAAAUAAUCCAACAUAAACACGUGUUUUCAUGAUUUGCCCAUAUCAGUUUGAUUUUCUGUUUCAAGUUGUUCGUGCCUAUAUGCCCAACAAGGGUUUAAAUGGUGUAAUAAUAACAAUAAUAAUAAUAACCUAUUAGAGCUGAUGAACAGAGAGGCCAUAGCUUCUAGAGGUUGGAUAAUAAAUAAAUCAAAGGCACCAGUGGUAUUUAAUACGUGGUGGAAUGUAAAGAGGUAAUUGAGAAAAAAAUAUAUGUAUCCCGAAAUUCACCUCAUCUCAUAGGGGGGCCAAAAUAUGCGAAAAUUGGCUAUGAACCAGUAAAAUAGUCUCCCUCCAUUAUUUCCUUUUCUUUCAGGAGGCUGGGUAUGGGAAGGAAAGCUUCAGAACGACUGAUAAAUAGUGGUGACUCCGAGAAAGCUUCGAAAAAGUGCACAUACAAGAACACCAGCAUAUAUAUAUGUGUGGUAACUUCGAUCGAAUAACAAAACAUAGAAGCGGGUAUUGAUCAGGCGAUAUAAAGGGGGAGAAUUGAAAGAAAAGCAAAGAAAAGAAAAGAAAAGAAAUCCCCAGGUUGGCAACAACAAGGAUAUACUGCAGUACUCCACCUGCACUUCUUUCAACGCCAAUUACCUCCCCAAUAAAAUUUGAUCCACAACCUCAUGUGCAAACCACGCCCCCUAAUUCCUUGUGAUAUUGUUUUCAGCGGCAGUAGCCUCAGAAUUAGCAAGAGCACCUUGCAGUGCGCUGGUAAGGUCCAUAUGGAAAAGGGGCCUAUUGAGUCCAUGGACAGCAACAAUUCUCCGGCUCGCAACACUA